UACGUAGGGGCUAGCGUUGUCCGGAUUUAUUGGGCGUAAAGAGCGUGUAGGCGGUUCGGUAAGUCGGGUGUGAAACUUUGGGCUCAACCCAAAGCCUGCACUCGAUACUGCUGUGACUUGAGUCCGGUAGGGAGUGGGGAAUUCCUGGUGUAGCGGUGGAAUGCGCAGAUAUCAUUGGAACGCCAAUGGUGAAACAGGUAGCUGGGGUCUGCUGACGCUGGAGACACGGAAAGCCAGGGAGCAAACGGG
rnacentral:rRNA from 1 species